GAACUGUGUUGUCAGAGUUUUCAUGUUGGGAAUUUUCGAACCGACUGAAUAAACAGACGAGUUUCGAAAGCGCGCUCGACGAGGUUUUGGUGUGGUGCGGCAUUUUUGGAUUUCAUAUCGUUCGCUCUUAUUUAUUUUUCAUACUAAAAGUACUAAAUCAUCAUGGGUGGCUUAUCUCAAAGACCAUGGACCCCAACCAAAAGACGUGGACCUAUUGCUGCUGAAUACAACAGUCCAGGGCCGGCGUGUGUAUCCUUGCCAUCAUACAUCGGCAAAAAGCCUUUAGAAGCCAAAACAGGUAGCGCACCAGCAUUCAGUUUCGGUGCCAAAGCGAACGCUAAACUCGAUAGUGUUGGACCCGGCCCUGGACAAUAUAAUGUUUCCGGUCUUAGUGCAAAAGGUAAAGACAGUCCUCCCGCUCUCAGCUUGCACAGCAGACCCAAAGAACCAAGAUCGGAGAACUUUCCUGCUCCCGGAGACUAUAAUCCAGACAAGGCCGAGAAAGUAAUCCACGACAACUCUCCCAAGUAUACGUUUGGUUUAAAAACGAACGUAGGGAAGCCAUUAGAUACUCCAGCACCAAACGUAUAUAAUGUACCCGAGUCUGAAAAAAGUUUGCACGAUCAUGCACCUAAAUACAGUUUUGGAGUAAAAGCACCCAUUGAAAAACCAUCUGACACACCUGCUCCGAAUGUUUAUAGAAUACCAUCAGGAGAAAAAUUGGAUAAUACGCCAAAAUAUAGUUUUGGUGUUAAACCUGACUUGGUUAAACCAUUUAAUACUCCUGCUCCCAAUGUCUACAACAUUCCAAAAGCCGAUUCUGUUUUACUCGAUAAUUCUCCAAAGUAUUCUUUUGGAAAUAAAGUUAAUUUGGAAAAGCCUUUGGAAACUCCUGCGCCAAACGUGUACAACAUACCAUCAGUUGUGGGAGACAUAAAAGGAGCCCCAGCGUACACCAUCUCUGGAAGAAACAAAGAACCUAUCGAUGAGAGAGUAAAGAAUCCAGGUCCGGGGCAGUACAAUAACGUUGAUCCAGAAAAUUAUAAAGUACACUCUCCAGCCUAUACAAUCAGUGGAAGAAUAAAUAUUCCUAAAGAUGACACUAUUCCUGGACCAGGGGUAUAUUCUCCAGAAAAAGUUGUGUCCCAUUUAAGGCAUGCUCCUAGCCAUUCGUUUGGCAUACGCCAUUCUGCGUAUUUGGGCUCCUAUAAUAUGUUCCUUCAGAAAGAUAAAACUUGCUUGCUUUUCUAACACGUCUUUCAAAUAAUAUUUUCUAGGGACCUAUGGUUAAAUAUAAUUGUUUUACUAACAUUUAUCCUUUUAAAUGGUUGUGUUAGAAUACCCUCCAGCCCACAGUUUUGGAAUCAGACAUUCUCAAUAUGCCGAACACUACUAAAAUCUAAAGAGGUCAAAUCAAACGAAGAUAGCUGAUAUAACGAGUCGACUGUAGUCUUAAUUUAUUAAACAACAACAAAAAGGAAAAGACACAGAAUUUUUGUAUUUUUAUAAGAUGGUACGUCGUAGGGAAGAGUAACUUAUUCCCUUAAUUUUUUAUAGAAUAGGUUUAAAAAAUAGUUCUCGCUACUGUGAAUAAUUUCUACGCUUCAUAAAUACGUAAAUACUGUAUUAACAAUUUCCUAGAUCAGUUUUGUUAAAUUAACCUGUUUGGAACAAAAAAAAAAGAUAAAAAUAUAUGUAAGUCAGCUUACAAAAAAUUAAAAAAAAUAGUUGUAAUACUCUAUAAAAAUCCGAAAACAAAGAGUUAUUUUAACAGAACGUCCCAACAAUAAAAAUUGCUUAUUAAUCAUAAAUAGGCAAGCUUCUCGGACACAAGCAAUGUUUUACUUUACUUGUUUCAGAUAAUUUACACAAUGUUAAUGCCGUUUAGUUUGAAUAAAAUAUUUAAAAAUU
rnacentral:misc_RNA from 1 species